UACGGAGGAUGCAAGCGUUAUCCGGAAUUAUUGGGCGUAAAGCGUCCGCAGGUGGCACUUCAAGUCUGUCGUCAAAGACCGGGGCUUAACCCUGGAAAGGCGAUGGAAACUGAAAGGCUAGAGAGAGGUAGGGGUAGAGGGAAUUCCCAGUGUAGCGGUGAAAUGCGUAGAGAUUGGGAAGAACAUCGGUGGCGAAAGCGCUCUACUGGACCAUAACUGACACUCAGGGACGAAAGCUAGGGGAGCGAAUGGG
rnacentral:rRNA from 1 species